GUCCUACGGGAGGCAGCAGUGGGGAAUAUUGCACAAGGGGGGGAACCCUGAUGCAGCGACGCCGCGUGAGUGAAGAAGUAUCUCGGUACGUAAAGCUCUAUCAGCAGGGAAGAAAAUGACGGUACCUGACUAAGAAGCCCCGGCUAACUACGUGCCAGCAGCCGCGGUAAUACGGAGGAUGCGAGCGUUAUCCGGAUUUAUUGGGUUUAAAGGGUGCGUAGGCGGGCUGUUAAGUCAGCGGUCAAAUGUCGGGGCUCAACCCCGGCCUGCCGUUGAAACUGGCGGCCUCGAGCGGGCGAGAAGUA
rnacentral:rRNA from 1 species